UGGUUCUGGCAUCGAUGAAGAACGCAGCGAAAUGCGAUAAGUAAUGCGAAUUGCAGAAUUCCGUGAGUCAUCGAAUCUUUGAACGCACAUUGCGCCCUUUGGUAUUCCGAAGGGCAUGCCUGUUCGAGCGUCAUUAACACCCCUCAAGCCUGGCUUGACGUUGGACUCGGCGGUGAUCCGCCGGUCCCAAAGACAAUGACGGUGCCCGUAGGCCCCCGGUACAAUGAGCUGUUUCAGCACGUACCGCGGCGGUCUCCGGACCCGGUCAGACCUAUUUUUUUCAUGUUGACCUCGGAUCAGGUAGGAAUACCCGCUGA
rnacentral:misc_RNA from 1 species